rnacentral:rRNA from 1 species
UACGUAGGGUGCAAGCGUUGUCCGGAAUUAUUGGGCGUAAAGAGCUCGUAGGCGGUUUGUCGCGUCUGCUGUGAAAACUCGGGGCUUAACCCCGGGCCUGCAGUGGGUACGGGCAGACUAGAGUGCGGUAGGGGAGACUGGAAUUCCUGGUGUAGCGGUGAAAUGCGCAGAUAUCAGGAGGAACACCGAUGGCGAAGGCAGGUCUCUGGGCCACUACUGACGCUGAGAAGCGAAAGCGUGGGGAGCGAACAGG